GAAAAUCUUCAGUAUAUCAUUCUUGACUGUGUUCCUAGACACCAUUUUGAACAACGGUUAGAGACUAGCAACAAACUUCCUAAAUCCUACAUGAUCAACAAUGGACAAUGGAUACUCGUGCAAAAUGAUAGCAUGAGCAAGUUCUCUGCGUGAAACAUCUUGAUCAAAAUAGUGUUGUUGGCUACCAUCACCCCCUGAAUUACCCUCAUUGUCUAAGUUACUUGGCUUUUUGCGACAUCGAUUACAGAUAUAAUCUAGCAUGGAUUAUGUCCCACAAAUUCUUGUUGAUUUUAUACGAGUAAUACAAUACUUACAAACACCAAAACGAACUCGAUUAAUCAUCACCGGUGUAAAAUGAUUCCAUGCGUCAGAAAUAAGUUUUCUUUUCCCAGUUUCAUCAACAACUUCAUCGACUUGCAUAGGCAAUUGACUCUCACUCUCUAUAGGAAAAGUACUAGAAGAUGAACCAACCGGAUUCUCUUCAUUUUGAGAUUCCAUACUUUUCUACAAAAAAUAAGCAAAAUUAAUAUUAUGAGACAUUUCUAAGUGCACAUGGAAAAUGAAAAAAGAGUCAAUUAAGCAGUUUAUGACAGAAACUAUAUAUGCAGCCCAAAGCAAUUUAUGACAUAAACAUAUAUGAAUCUGCAACUGAGCUUGCAGUUUAACUAGCAGUAUUAGUGAAUGAAAUAAAACAGAACUAUGCAACUAUUUUACUGAGGCAUGUAUUGCAAAACUGGUGCUCCUCAUCAAUGGAAAAAAAUCAUAUACAAAAGAAAACCUUUUCUUUGUAAGGAGUAUUGAUUGGCUUUACCAAGUUUCCUUACUUCUUGUGGACUAUGUGAAAAAAGAAAACUAAUGCUGAUAGCUAAACUCCAACUUCCUUUUUCUGAUUUUUCUUAUGAACAUCUAAAAUUAGCGCAACAUAUGGGUGUAAGGAGAUCAUAUUCAAAUUCGAAACUUGACACCAAUUGAACUUUGGGAUUAAAAAUGAAAUAGAAAUUCCAUUGGCUUUACACAAAUGGUCUUCUUGGAAUCAUAUUUACCUUUGGCCUUCUCUACACAGCCUUAAAGAACAGGAAAUAUAGGUCUUUAUCAUUGAUGCCCAUAAUGUGUUUGAUAAAAUUUCUCAUAGAAAAAUCGAAAAUACAAAGCUUUAAACCAAAAUUAAAUAGGAAUUCCACAACAAAGAUAAAGCCCAAAAACUUAAUUCAAGAUUACUAGAACCAGAAAAUGGAGCUAUAGUGAGAAGUAGAAUUCAAAGAGGAAAAGGGACUCACAAUCCUUGAUAAACC
rnacentral:lncRNA from 1 species